UACAGAGGUGGCAAGCGUUGUUCGGAAUUACUGGGCGUAAAGGGCGCGUAGGCGGCCAGCACAAGUCAGUUGUGAAAUCUCCGAGCUUAACUCGGAACGGUCAACUGAUACUGUGCGGCUAGAGUGCGGAAGGGGCAACUGGAAUUCUUGGUGUAGCGGUGAAAUGCGUAGAUAUCAAGAGGAACACCUGCGGCGAAGGCGGGUUGCUGGGCCGACACUGACGCUGAUGCGCGAAAGCCAGGGGAGCGAACGGG
rnacentral:rRNA from 1 species